rnacentral:rRNA from 1 species
UACGAAGGGGGCUAGCGUUGCUCGGAAUUACUGGGCGUAAAGCGCACGUAGGCGGAUUGUUAAGUCGGGGGUGAAAUCCUGGAGCUCAACUCCAGAACUGCCUUCGAUACUGGCGAUCUCGAGUCGGGAGAGGUGAGUGGAACUGCGAGUGUAGAGGUGAAAUUCGUAGAUAUUCGCAAGAACACCAGUGGCGAAGGCGGCUCACUGGCCCGGUACUGCGACGCUGAGGUGCGAAAGCGUGGGGAGCAAACAGG